GCUGGUGCCGAAAUUGUCAAGGUGAGAAUUGACUUAUUUUCAUUAUAGAACAUACAAAUUGCUUAAUACAGUGAAAUAGAUUUUGUCUAUCCUAUGAUCUGUGCACGUAGUUGAAUUCGUGAAUGAAUUUACCCUUUCAUAAUCUUAAUGUUAUCAAAUUAUCAUGUUCUACUGUUUAAUCAGUUCUCUCAUGGGUAGACAAUCAUGAUUUACCAUUAUUUGCCUUAAAAUUUUCUUACUAAUAGACGAAUUUGAUUAUACAAGGAAGAAAAACAUCAAAAUGGAGACUACGCGUCCACCAAACAAACAGAAGAGAAUUACACAUCCUAGUGUAGGACAAUCCCCCAAUCCCUAUCAAGGUUGCUUUGCCUUAGUAAUUAUGUUGCAUAUUCUUUCUACUUUAUAAAUUUGAUGCUUACAAGAAGAUAAGAAUCUUCUCAUGUGAAAGAUCAUAACAUAAAGAUUUGCAUGAUAGAUGUAUUGAUGUAGGGUAGAUGCUGUUUUUUAAUUUGAUUCAAGUGUAAUAUGUUAGGAUCCAAGGUAGGUCCUAACAAAUUUGCGGACGGGUAGAGAAGAAAUAGAUUUUAGAAACAAAGUUGGAGGAGGGCGAAGGAAUGGGCAAAAUGGGAGAAACUGAGGCGAGGAAGGGGAUAGGGAGCAGAAAAUAUCUCUUAUAUCAAUUUGUCAUUCAAAUCUAUGUGGCACACGAUACAUAUACAGGACACAGAUACGACACAAUAAAUGACACGAUACACAACAUUCUCCGAGAAAAAAGGAUAUAAUGCGUUGGGAGAUAUGUUGAAUUUUAUAUUUUCUUAAAUAGAUAUACAUGUAUUUCUAUAAUAAAUAAAUUUAAUUACCAAUAGAGUAGAAUAAAUAUCAAGAAAAAUAGUGAAAAACCCUAGCAUAUUAUAAUGAACAUAUCUAAUAAGUAACUUGUGUAUUUAUAACUUGGCCAAAUAAAAAAGUAAAACAAAUUAUAAAAAAACAAGUGUUAGGAUGUAUCCCGGCGUGUCCCGAUGUGUCGCCGCGUGUAUACGACAUGUCCGAAGUAAAAAUAAAAUAAAAUUAAACAAAUAAAAAGAUAGUGUCGAGAUGCAUCCCUGCGUGUCCAAGGCGUUGCGUGUCUGGAAUGCCCCCACAGCGACUUGUUGACCUUCGAAAAGUGUCUGUGCUUUAUAUUUCAAAUCAAGCUUAAAAUGAAACUACAACCACUACUCCUAUAUACUGCUAGAUUGAACCUAAUGAAAUGGGCUACUAUACAACAUUAGCUAUUUUAAGGACAAAGCAAACUUGGAUACUAAGAAAAAAAGGGUACUAUCCACUCUUCUUAAAUAACGAACGAGUCCCCAGCCUCAAUUUAAUUUCUAAAUGGCCCUUUGCCUUAUAUUUGUUUUCCCUUUUGAACAUCAUGAAGGAAAAAUAGUUAGCCAAACUAGGUUUUAAAAUUUUAUCCCAAGAUCGUCGUUGUGGUUUUAUCAUGAACGAGUCAAUAUAUGAUAUAUUAUAUAUAUAUAUAUAUAUAUAUAUAUAUAUUGUAAAUGUAGUUCAUAUAACAUUGUGCUCACACAAUGACACAAACAUAAUUGAUUUCUUGCUAUCCUUGAGACCUUCUCUCUUAUUACCUUUUCUGCGAACCUUGGUGCGUGGCCUCCGUAAUUCCUUUUUCACCAAACCCUAGCUAUGAAUUUGCUAAGUUCGAAAGGAAGAAAGGAAGCAAUUAAGUUAUUUCGAAUUUUGUUUCUGAUGGUGUGAUCAAUUCUAUCGCAAAAAACAAAAAUCCUAUUGAUAUAUGUGUGUGUGUGUAUAUGUGUGUGUAUAUAUAUAUAUUUCAGUAAAUUAUAUCCUCUAUGUAUCUGGUCCAAUUUAGGUUAGAAGAGGGAUCUUAAGGGUCUCCUAUUCAAGCUCCAACAGAACUCUAGGUAAAAAUGUUAUCUCAUAACUCUCAUCGAAAAUUCUACUAUUACAAUUAAUACCACUAAAUAAUUGUAAUGGGACUCCAGUUCAGGAAAUACACAAUUAAGCUCUUACCUUACUAAUUAGCUACGAAGUUCCCUCUAUUUGGAUAUAUAUAUAUAUAUAUAUAUAUAUACAUAUAAUCAUGUUUAAUUACUGUAUUUUGGAAAUGUUUAUAAUUUACUACAUAAGUACAUAAUUCAUUCAUGCUGAUCUAUAAUUAAUUUGACAAUUAAAUCUAUUCUUUUAGUAAUAAUAUUACUAAGGGGGUGUAUUCAAUUAAGAUUUUUAAAGACUUUUUAAGUGACAAACUUUUGUAGAAUUUGUGAAUUUUAAUGACUUUUAAAGACUUUAAAGACUUUUUUAAAAUGACUUUUAUAGACUCCAUGAAAUAAGUAACAGAUUUUUAUAAACUUUUUAUCAAGAUUGUCAUAGACUUUUGUAUACUUCUAAUAUAUAAAAUUGAAAGAUUAUUAGAUUUAAGAUUAAAAUUUUGCUACACAGAUAAAUUAUUUAUUUUAUUUUUUAGUGCAUAUAUUAUAAAUAAUAAUCCACUGCUUAUGAUAGCAACUUUCAGAAAACAUAUUAUACAAAAAAUUUAAGUUCUGACAAUAUUAUUUUAUCUAAGCAUUAGAAUACAUAUAUAUUAUAAUAUAUUUAUUACAUGGCUUCUGAUCAUUCAAUUAUUGGCUCCGUGAUUUCAUUUUUUUUCUUCGCAGAAAACGAAAUCCACACUCGUGUAAGCGUGUGAUUCAAUACCAUAUUGAUUGCUUUACUAUAUAUAUAUAAUCGUCCUUUUACCAAAUCAUGCACUAUAAUUAAUAAUAAGAUAAAAGUUUUAAAUAUAUAUACAUACAUAAUCUUCACAAUUGAUCCGAGUGUUUCAUGAUUUUAUCCCACCUUUAUUAAACAAAUUUCUUUCGUCUUUGUAUUGGAAGCUUUCGAACUGCCGCUUUCUCCCUUACCAAUUUACUGUGCCUUUUCUCUCUUUCCUCGAUUGCACGUAUCGCGUGACAGAUUGGGUCUUUAGUUAUUUGUUUACCUAUUAAUAUAUCUUGUUAAUUCUCGUAAUCAUAAUAUGAUUUAAUUUUAUCCACAUAUAAAUUAAAUCCAAUUAGUUUUAAGGAUCAAAUUUUACCAAAUUAAUUUAUCCUUCACAUAUUAAUACUUAUUAGCUCAUAUAAAAUAAAUAACUAGUUUGACCCAAUAAAAGACAAAGUUCAAUUAAAUUAUUUAAAAUAUAAAUAUAAAUAUUAUUUUUUUUAUUUCUUUAUUAUUAUUUUUUUUUGGGUAUUACACCGCGAAUUUGUAUUUACACCGCGAAUUUCUGGGUUCCCUCUUUACCGGCGAUCCGAAUUUACUUUUGUGUUUAAUAUUUGAAAGUCUUUCGAAGUUUUUAGAGAUGAGGUCAGACUUUGGAUAUUGGUUGAUAGUUAUAAUUUUUCUUCUGAAGUCGGUCAAACUCUACCAUUUGAUAGAAAUUUAAAAAAUCUAUGACUUUUUGAAUACCAAAAUACUUUUAUAGACUUUGUAAAAAUUUUAAUUCAAUACCACCUAACUUUUAAAGACAUUAAAAAAGUUGUAAUUGAAUACCAAUAAACUUUUAUAAACUCUUUAAAUGUCUUGAUUGAAUACAACCAAAAUUUUAAAAUCUUUAAAAGUCUUUAAAAAUCUUAAUUGAAUACACCCCCUAAAAGACUUGGCUACGAAUUACUUAAUAAAUAAUCUUACGAAAUAUCUUUUAUAGAUUUCUUGACAAUAAUAUAUGUUCCUAAUAUUCAUAAUAUAUAUUACUUGAUAUCCCUUGGUUAUUAUAAUGUAAAAUAUUUAUCACUUGAUCCUGUUUAAUGCACACCGUUAAUGCACUUUAGUUUGAAGUAUCCACCCAUAUUAUUAGAUGGUUUUGGGUAGAUAAUUAUCAAAUAAAAAUAAUAAAUGGUCCAACCCAUAUCCACACACAUAGUAAGUGGGUUGAUGUGGGCUGCCCAUUUGGCCCUGAUUAUACACUUAUUUUCAAAAGUAAGCUAUUUUAGUAAUUAUUUCUCAGUUAGACUCUCUUUCUAAAAAAAGUCAGUUUCUCACUUUAAAAUAUUUCACUUUCUUACUAUAAAAUGUUCACUUUCUCUUGAUCUCUCACUAAUAUAUUUUUUUUGAAUCAAGUGGGUGGAUGGGUUAUGAUUUUUUGAAUUAAGUGGGUGGAUGGAUGGGUUAUGACUAAACUCUUUUUGCUAUGAUUUCUUCCUCUCUCAUUUGCUUUGUGUAUUCUGCUUUGUGUACUGUUUCUUUCUUCCUCUGGGUUUAGUAUCACUGCUUUUGUGCCUAUAUAGUUGCCAAGUUCAUGAUGGGUUUAUAUAUAGUAAAAUAUCAAUAUUAUGAAAUAUGUGCAUAUAUUUAUGGGCUUUGAUUUGUGUAUUCUUUCUCCUGUUUAAUUUUCUUAACUCAAGUACAUGGUCUUGCAUGCUUGCUGUUAAUUCGUCUUUUAAUGCCCAUAUCCAUCCUUUUAUGACCGCCCAUUUACAACCCAUAUAAGGCUUGCACAUAUAAAACCGAACCCAUUUGCAUCCGCCCAAAUCCGUCCAAAUCUGCCCAAUUUCUAGGUCUAUCCAUGGUUAUAAACCAUGUUCUUUAUUAUAUGUUACUUAUAUUUUAUAUCUUUUAUGUAUACAUAUAUAUCAUAUACAUAUAAUGUAGAGACAAAAUAACAUUACAUUACAAAAUAAUGAAUAAUGCAAUAUUUAUUAAUCAAUAAUAAUGUCAUCAACAAUAUUAAAUAAAUAGGAUUUUAUAGCAAAAUCCAACACAUCAAUGCCCUCAUGGAUGGUUUUAUUGUUGAAGUUUUAUGUUUCUCUGGGUUUAUAUCUUAGAUUCUCUUUAUGUAACAACCCGGGUCAAAACCAAGUCCAGAACAAAUCUUGGGUCAAAUCCCAAGUCCGAAUCGAAUCAAAUCCAUCAAAAUAAGGCCUCAAACUACUGGCCCAAUAGUAUCUUCUUGGGUCAACUUAGCCCACCACAGGCUCACCCAAAAGGUCAUGACUUGAAGGUACUAUUGGUAGUAACUUAUUUCCUUACAUGCAGACAAAUUUUUCUCCUAUCUUUCGAUGUGGGACUGGGGUGUUACAAACUCCCUCGCUUUAAAUUUCUGACGUCCCCGUCAGAACCGAUCACACACACAGGCCCAAAGAUUUUUGCCUCUCUAGCCAUUGUGGGAUAAUACCGGCUGACUUCGUGUCCCCACCUCCGGACCUCCAUCUCUCCAUUGUGGGAUAAUACCACCAGCUUUCGUGUCCCCACCUCUGACAACUCGAUCGGAUGACCCGACCUGAGCUUUCGAGAGUCGGCUCUGAUACCAUAUGUAAUAACCCGGGUCAAAUCCCGAGUCCAGAACAAAUCUUGGGUCAAAUCCCAAGUCCGAAUCGAAUCGAAUCAAAUCCAUUAAAAUAAGGCCUCAAACUACUGGCCCAAUAGUAUCUUCUUGGGUCAACUUAGCCCACCAUAGGCUCACCCAAAAGGUCAUGACUUGAAUGUACUAUUGGUAGUAACAUAUUUCUUUAUAUGCAGACAAAUUUUUUCCCUAUCUUUCGAUGUGGGACUGGGGUGUUACAACCCGUCUCUCCUGCCAAAGAAAAUCAAUAUCAAGUACUCUUGAAUUUCGACUUUUCCGUCAACUUUAUCAUUUCCAUCAACUUUAUCAUAGACCAACUACUUCGUCAUAAAGCAACAAGGAUAUUUGAUUAAGAUUCUCUUUGAUAUAGCUUGGUAUUGCAUGGAAUUCAGCCCCAAAGUCAGUAACAAUUGAAUUUGAUCUCCCCGAAGUGUUGAUUUUAAACACAAUUGCUUCCUUUACUUGCACUUGAGUUGAAGGACUUGAAAUGCUCUUUGGUUACUAAUUUUGCAAUGUACCCAUAAACAUAUUACCAUUAUGAGUAGAUACCCCCAUUAAGAUUGCUGCUAGGUACAAUUCUAUUAGAUACUCAUGCACAAAAUAAAUUCACAAUUGUCCGUAGCAUUUGUCAAAGCUUGAUGGUGAAACAUACUCUUUCAAAUACUCAGAACGGACAAUAUCGCUAAGAUUUCACCGAUAAUUGGAGGACAAGACCAAUUCAUUGUGAGGAAGAGAAUGUUGUAAAAAGCCAUUUAGAUUCAACACAUGUCGACUAUUUUUAGUAUGUUAUGGGUUUUCUUGCAAAAUAAGUUGAGGUAGAAGAGAUUUGGAGAGGAAGAAAUUGAAAUUUUCACUUAGACAUUAUACCGGGCUAUUGGUGUGCAGGAAAAAUAAAUUAAAAUGAGAAUUUUUGGCAGAUUUUUCAAGAUUGAGAUAAGUAUAUGAGAUUUAAGAGGAAGUGUUUGAUGAGAAUGAAACGAGAAUAAAGCUAUGAGAGGGUGAAAAGAACCUUACCAGAAUUAGAGGUUAGAGAAGAUAAUUACGAAAGAAGAGAUCGGAGAAGAAGCAGAGCCUUGGGAAGAAGCAGAGUUAGGAUUUCUGUUCAUUUAAUCUAUCAAUUUAAUUUGUUUUUACUUAUAGUUAAUGAUAUACUACUGACUACACUACAGUGACAUACAUCUCAGAACUUAUUAUGUUCAUGUAAUCUAUCAAUUUAAUUUGUAUAUAGUCAUAAUUUUUUUUAAUUAUUAUAAUUUAUUGACUUAAUGUUCAAAAAAUCCAUUGAACUCUUAUCAAACUAUAAAAAAUCAUACAAAUUAUUUUUUUUGGACCAGAAUCAUUGAACUUUCAAAAACUGUCAAAAAUGCCCAAAAUUUGACUAGUUCAUGUGUACACGCCAGCUCAUAUGAUCAAAUUUUGUGCAUUUUUUAUAAUUGUUUGAUAGUUCAAUAGUUCUGGUUCGAAAAAAAAAGUUGCAUAUUUUUUUAAUAGCUUGACAAAAGUUCAAUGGAUUUUUCAGUGUCUAAUUUAUUUAACUUAGUAUUUAUACUUUGUGUCUUUUGUUGAAAUUGAUUAAUAAUUUUAAUUAGAUUUUUUUCUCUUUUUAUGAACAGGUUAAAAAUGUCAAUUAUCAACCUCUGUUAACGGAAUUAGGCCACGUUUUUUUAUACCACAGGUUGUAAAUCGACAGCUUUUUAAUUACAGGCUGUUAAGUGAAAAAAUUGAAAGCAGAGGUGGUUUUUUUUUUUUUUGCAUUUAACUCUUAUUAUUUUACAAGCGAAACAAGUCUUAAUAUUAAUUCGGUGAUUCAUCCACUAAAAUAAUAAGUCGAAUUCUCAUGCCCUAUCCAUACAACAUGCUAUUGCCAUUUGGGUUGGAAUAGUCACUGAUGGUCAACUGUAGUUUAAAUCUUCUUUAAACAACAUGUUAUUGGGAAUCCUCAGUAGUGUGAAGUUGAGACCCUGUACUGAGUCAAGUCAAAGAAUAAGAAAAUAUAAAUAUGAAAAAAAUAUUUGAACUAAGAAAGUUCAGUAGAGCUCGACAGCUGCUCUAAGAUAGUAGAAACAACAGCAGCAAGGAGAGAGAGCCUGGGGGAAGAGAAUCAGAGAAGUGGAGCCUGGAGAUCAAGGGUGGUUGUAAUGGCAGCAUAAUGUGGUUGUACGUCGAGACAAGUGGAAGCAUCCAUAUGAAGCGUUUAAAAGGCAUAGAAAAGAUGUUUCAUAGUCUCAAGCCUUCAGUUGGAACAUUUCCGCACAUCUUGCCUGAUUCACUAAUUCGUGGGAAGAGACUGAACUCUGGUAAUUGAAAAAUGCUGUAUGAUGGAUGGUCAACUUUGGACCUUGCUAACCUUAUUUUGGUUAAUGGAGUUUUUUCUAUUCUAUUAUUUAUUAGGUAUCUUACAGGUCUGAUUUAUGUAAGUUGUUGGUCAAUUUACAGUUUAGGGGUAUUUUUGUAUUGGCUGGACAUUGGUCUUAGUGGUGGCCUAUGGAUCUUAUCUUAUUAUCUUAUGGAUUGAUAGGCCUUUUAUUUGUAAGGGUUUAGCAAAUCUCUUUGGUUUUGGAUUGCUACAAGACAUAAUUUUCUCAGCAAUCAUGCUUUUGUUUUGGAUUAUGUGAUGCAAUUUCAACCCUAUGGGUGCUAAUAUGCAGCAUAUGCUACAUGGUAGGUUUGAUGCCUAAGGUUUAUUUUUUUCUUCAGCUAAUAACCCUUGAUCCGAUUUAAUAAUCAACCAUUCAACCCUAAAAAUUCGUUAAACACAAUAGCGUGCAUUUUCUCAAACCCUGGCUCACUAAGUUAUAAAAAUACCCUAACUUAGUAUUCUAGGGGCACUUUUCUUAGGCCCACCAUCCCUAGAACUGCCUUGAAACUUCCUUCUUUUACAACUUAAAACAAGCCUAAAGCCCUAGCCCGUCCUUAUAACUUUUACAAGUUAUAAAUCGAGUAUUCUUAUCCACCGUAUAGGUUGUAAAACCCAUAAACACCAAGCUAAUAAACCCUACUUGAAAGUGUCCUACAUACGUGUUUUUAUCAGAGCAGAACUAAUUAUAUGGAGACUCAAAGUGGUCAAUGCUUUUGGGGAAAGCUAUCAGAUAGAUUGUGGACUGAAUUUAAGUAACUGAUAAUGAUAAUGGAAGAUAUUGAUGUAUUGGAAGCCAUCUACUUGAGAUGCAAGUCUCUUUGUUCACAAAAAAAAAGACGCAAGAGACAGUCAUUCUAAAGACAUAAAAGUAGUAUGGGGGUUGUUAACAAUGAUAUUUGUCUGCUAUGAAAGCGGGUGGAGUUAUCCCGACUUUUCUCUCUGUCGAGGCCCCUCUUGUGACCAACUUUCCAAACGUUAAUGGCGGGCAAAGGGUGUUAUAUAGAAGUAAAUUACCGAUACUCCAUCCAUAGUGUUGUCUACGAGUGCAAGUUGAGUUUCAACCUACCCAUUGAGGAAGAUUGUUUCUUUCUACGGCUAUGCAUGCAAUUUCUCUCUUCUCACAAGAGAGGGGAUUCCCUGAUUUGACUAAGAUCUCAUUCCCUUUUUUCUGCGAUCGUGAGUGUGAUGACACAAGCCCAAACCCAAACCCGAACCUCAACUUAAGGGCACUUAGGUUAUCUGGUCCACCACCAGCCCACACAAAAGUCAUGACUAAGAACUGGUACCCUUGGUAGUAGACCUUGUAUACAAUUAAAGUCCAUCCCAAAUGUUCUAAUGUGGGAAUAGGGUAGUCCAUUGAGCCCUUAUACGUAACAUGUGAUUUUGCUGCUCAAUUAGGGAGAAUGUACAUAAGUUUAAUGUUUAGAAGGGAAGGCUGUUGGCAUCAACAGUUAAUCCCCUUUCUUAAUUAGUUCAACGCAGUGUUCUAAAAUUUUUUGUCUUGGUCCCGCCUAGGCGCUAGGCCCCCCUGGCGUCUCGUCUAGACGCUAGGCCCCCUCUGGUGCCUCAUCUAGGCCUAAGGCGGCAAAAAAAUUCUUACAGAAAAUUAGGUGGGGCCUAAGCAGGUUAGGCGGAGAGUUUUUUUUUUUUUAAUUUUAAUAACUACCAAAAUCAUAACUUGAUAUAUUUAUUUUUCUAAUGAUUUACCAUAUUCAUAAUUCAGAUUGUAGUAUAUCAAAUCACAACAAGAAGUGAACAAUAUCAAGUCAAAAUGAAUAAUUUUAUUAUAGUUGUAAUUUUUUGAACUUGUACCAACUUCAAAUUAUAUAAAUGAUGAUACAUUUGUAAUAUUUAGUUUAAUUCAAUAUAAUUCUUAAAUUUAUGUUUAGUUUCUUAAGUUUUAAUUAAAUUCUUGAAAUUUUAAAUUUUAUUAUUUAAUAGCAAUCUUGUUUAUGAAUAAAAUUAAUACGUUAAAAUAUGUUUGAACUUUGAACAAUUGCAUGUUUGUGUUUGAAUUUUGACAUUAGCAAUAUGGAUAUGUGUUUGAACUUUAAGCAAAUGCCUUUGUUAUAGAUUGUUUUGCUUUAUAUAAUUGUUUUGUUUAAAUAAAUGUAAGAUAAAAUAUUAAAAUUGGCUUAAAAUAAAAAAUCCCGCCUAGGCCCCCGGCCGCCCGCCUCCUGCCUAGCGCCUUUUAGAACAUUGGUUCAACGAAAAGCAUAUGCCACAGUAUAGCAUUUAAUUGCAAAAACUUUUGAGCAUUGGCUUAUUCGUAAGUACUCAGGCUAGUUACAGGCUUUUAGAUUGAGUUGAAUUGUGGAGAUUGGUGGGGAACUAUGUAUUUGCUUCUUUGUUGUUAUUAGAAAACAAGUUCUUAAUUCCUGCUAUUUAGAAAAGAAAAAAAAUUGUUCUUAAUUCCUGCUGUUUUUAGCGGUCAUUGGAAUAGGCAACACUUAUACCAGUAGAAGACAAAUGUUUAGUUUAUGACAGUUGUGAACGCCUUAGUGUCACUUUAGACUACUUUUCCUAUUUUAUUCAUUUCUCAAGUGUGUCAUGAUAAUUGAAUUGCAUUUUCUAUUUACUCUGAUACAAGCUUGUGUACUUGUUUACUUACUCAAAUAUUGCUGCAUGCUUAUAUACCUUAUAUUUCUUUGAUCUCAGAUUUCUGUAUACAGUUUAUUCAUCAAUCUUGUCCCAAAAUCAUAUAUGGUGCUUACAGUUAGAAAGCAAAUGUACAAAAUAAUGGACUUUCUGAAAACUUCUAUCAAAUUAUGCGUCAUGCAUGGAUUAUGGGCUUCUUUCUCUUCAAUUUUUUUUUUGCCUGGAAAGAUAGGUAUAUCCUGUUUCAGCAUUAGGUGGCAUUCAUUACAUAGCGGCACUCCAAAUGCCUUUCUCUCAUAUUCCAAUGGUUGCAUCUCAAGGGAUGAGAAUAGGUGAGGCUUCUGUAAUUUCCUUGAAUGCUUGUUAUUUAUUAUACUUUGUUAAGAAUCAAUUUGCACUGUUGUCACUGAUUCUUGAAGUUUGUUUAUUUUUCUUUCAAUUGAAAGAAUUAGAUUUUCCCCUAAUCAGAUGACUCUGUCUCUCUUACUAUUUGUAGAACUGGUAGUGAACACUUUCUCAUCCAAUUAUACACUUUUACAUGUUUCCAUAAUUGAUGCAGAUCCUAGUGGGAUUGAUGCAGAUCCCUAGUGGGAUUGAUGCAGCGCACAAAAGGAUUCGUAUCUGUGAUAUGUGGAGCUGAAAGUCUAGGCACAAUGGAUAGACUAGUAGUUUAUUUAUGUUAUUUAGGAAUUUUAGUAAUUUUUUAUCUUAAGAGUUUUCGUGUCAUGUUGCUUAGGUUAAAUAUUUUCUCUUAUACUGGUUGCAUGUAUAAAAACAUUAGAAUGUACUAAAUUUAUUAAGGUUUGAGUAAUAUGAACUGCAUUUACUCCUAAACUAUUGUUUUGAUUCAUUUAUUUUGGAAACCGACAGUAAAACGCUUUCAAUUUAUUGAACUGUAAAUUUCAGUAUACUUUGUAGGUAUCCAUAUUCAAUGGUUUCCUGUCAUUUAAUUAAAACUCAUACAUUAUUUUUGUUGAGUUUGAUUAGCAUUUGCUGUAGUUUAGUCAGAUACAUAUAGAAAUAAUAGCACUUUGUUACAG
rnacentral:lncRNA from 1 species